CGGCGCGCUUCCCCUUGCGCGACGGCGGCGGCGCCCCGCGGGCCCGGCGGCCGGGCAGGCGCUGGCAGUACAGCCCCUUCUCCGGCAGGUGCAGUGGAAACUGGAGAUGCUCAGCAGCCCUCCGGACCGAUGCAGAAGGAAACUGAAGGAAGCACAGUCCAUUCCUGCUGACCUGAGGGGAAACCAUCUUCUUCUUUAUCGCCCUAAGCAGUACAAACAAGGUUCUACCUUUACAGAACACACAUCUAAAUGAAUGGAAAUACUUUCUGUAAAACCCAUUACCUUCCUCAUUAGUACUUUAAAAAAACUCCUAUGUAUUAUUACUUAGCAAUAGCUAAGUGUGGUGGGUGUUAGCACACCCAGAUAAGGGGAAAUCACUACCCCCACAGCACACAAGAUUCUGCCUCUAUGUGGUUUUAUGUAUCUCCCAUCCAGCACUGAGUCCUCACAGUCUUUUUCAUCUCCCAGUGAAAAUGGUUCUGCCCAUCACAUCUUGGCAUUUAUGCCAUUAUCCAUUAAACUGCAGUGCUGUAUAUUUUAUGAGAACAAAAUGGUCUUGAGUUGACUUCAUACCUCAGAUAUGAACAGAGCUGUACAUAUCCCGGGAGACUAUUACUGCUUUCCUUUGCUAGCACAUCACAUGCAAAGGGGAAGGAAAAAAAGCCACAGGCUGCCUAUACACACUAAAUAAUCACAGGAAGCAAAUUAAUACUCAAAUCAUCAGAGUAAGAAUGAAUUUGAACAUUAUCGCUGUGAGGACUUAGAAGUACUUUAUACGUGUGCUUGCCUAAUGCCCUGUGAUGCUUGCAGCUACCUCUGCCCCUUCUCCCACCAGUGAAUGCACUUGAUGCAGAGGGGGGGAUGAUGGCUACUCUUGCUUCAGCAUAGCAGCAGAACAGGCAGGAAAUCCCCAGGGAUUAGCCUCUCCCCCAGCCCAAAGGCAAGUGUAAUCUGACAGCAUGGCUAGAUUUAUCUUUUGAACAAAAUGUGCUUUGGAAUUAAGCAGUCAAUGAGUUGAAUAAUAAUUAGAAAUUACUAUUUUCCUCUCUUUUGGAGUACUACUAUUGCAGAUUACUUCUCUUUUGAUCAUGAUUGGCAGAUAUUCUCUCAUGGUAAAAAAACCCACUGACUUAACUGCUAAUCACUUUGCUACAGUCAGGACCCAUGUAAUAACCCCAACAAUCCUUUGCUAAUGGUAGAAAACUUGGUAUGUCAGGUAUUUAGUCUGCACAAAAGGUUUGGAUUUUUUCCUAAUUUUAGAUACAGAUAUCACAGACAGAUUUGACAUUUGAACAGUGACCAUCUUCCAUCUAGCAGUCCGCCUUUCUCAGAGCAGAAAACAAAUAUUGCACAUGGUUAUGGCUCUGGCUCUGACUUUUUUAGUAUUUUUCUCUAUAGUGGUCCCACUUUUGAUUAUCCACAAAUAAAGAAACACUACCUCUAUCUCAAAUUACGUUUGAAAGUCUCUGGAAAAUUGCAAGAUUACUCAAGUUGGGUGUCUGCUCUUCCCCCAAAACACCUGACCACAGCCUGGGUUCUCCCUGGAGAAUAACAUGCUCCACCAAAGGCUGAGGGCACCUACUGUCAGACUCCCACUCUAAAUUCCUGUCUAGAAAGGACUUUCUACCUUGACUUUGAGAACUAUCCUGUCCUCAGAAGAAUUUAGUGUAAUGAAUGCACCACACUCUCCCUUGUAGGAAAUUAAUUAAGGUUUUGCAAAAGUAAUGUGGAACUGCCUAACCUGGGAAGACUCAGGUCACACAGCUUCACUUUGUGCCUUGUGGGAAAAUACAAGGGCGGAGGAAUAAGACCCCAACCCUGCAGAUGCUUUUAAGAACCUGACAGCAAGUAGCAAAGAUGAUGCAUUAAUUUACAUCUCUACCAACAUUUGAAAUAAUAUUUGCUACAGUAACUUAAUGCCCCAAGAAUACUUAAUGGUAUAAAGUAAACAUUCAUCACAAAUUAAGGUACACUGAAGAAGACUACAGUUUAAAGCAAUGUUAAGAGAAAAAUCAGAAUUUGCCACGUUUCUUUCCCUAUUUGGUAUAUAUUUAAUUUCAAAGGUUGGUCUUAUUUUGUUUAAGCUGGAGAUAAUUUUUCAAGUUCUUAAAACCACAAACAACAUACAAUUCUUGACAUUUAGAAAAAUGUCUACACCAAAAUUACAUCGUUUUCAGUGGACACAAGUCCAAUCUUAUUUCCCGUCAGUACUGCCAACUCUUAAUUAAAAAAAAUUCACAGCAUCCAAUUCUUUUCCUGUUGGCAACAUUUCUAGCACCUUUACCAGUUUGUCAUGUGGCAUGCUGUAAUUAAGACCGUCUAUUACUUCUAAUGAAAGACUAGAAUGAAUUACAGAAAUCACCCGCAGAGCUAUAUAAUCCCCAGAAGAACGGAGAUUACAGUGCAACAGACCAAAGAAACAACAUUUUUUGUUGUUUUUCUUUUAGUUGGAGAAACAUUUUUGAGUGAGGAGACCACAGGAUGGUCUGGCUUGGUAAUGACCAGUCAGCAUUUUGAAAAAACACUGGUGCUUAAACCAGGGAAUGCAAAAACCAUAAUUGGCAUUUCACAUACACACAUAUGUGUGUCAGGAGCAUAAUGUGUGCAGGAGGAACUGCAGAGCAAUAUGGUUUGGUAUCUCCAUUAAUAUUGGUAAAUGCAUCAUUCAAGACAGUGCCAGAAGGGAUUCUGUGUACUCUGCACAUUUAGCAGACGCUUAGCAGACUGACUCCUUUAGAAACAUUUCAGAGGGAUUUUUGUGUGUUGUCUAAUAGGAUUGCGGGGUUUUUCUAUCCAGGAAACCAAACAUCCUAAUUGGGAGGGGCCAAAUCCUUAGCUGCGCAAGAUUUGCCCUGGACACAGUGAAGAUGACCCGGGAAGAACGGUCAUGCUUAGUUGAUUUUCCCUUUCUCAAAUUUGGAUCCACUUAGGCUUUACACACUCCCCUUCUGCUUGGUAAUCUAGUUUGGGCAGCUGCAGCAGCCAGGACUUUGUCUUCUAUAUUCGACCUAUUCAUCCAACUACAUACUUCAUUUAAUUUGCCAAAUGCUCCCAUUCAGGCAAGAAUCUGGCCCCACAGAGAGGUACUUCUGCCAUCUGCUUUAGACAUUUAACUACAGCUUAGUUCAGGACACCUACAUUUAAAAGCCUAAGUUCCCAUUCAGUCAAUGAGAAAGGCACAUGCUACAGUCCAACACGGAUAAGGUCUCAGAAAAGGAGAAAAAUAUUUAAUAUGAUAGCAAGUGUUUAACAUGUUCCAAAGUAGUUCAGGGUGGGCCUUUCCACUACAAAAAGGCACUGCUAUUAUUGUCAGAUCUUUUUCCUUUUGAACUAUUAUGAAAUUAAACAAGUGACCCACGGGGAUCAUAGAAGUCCCAUGUUCUCACGGUUUCUCCUAGUUCAGUUUGGGCUAGGCAGCAGCCUUACAGGCUAUAGAUUUGAGAUUUAUUAGCGUCCUAGGUGCUGAGCUGGAAUUAUUUUAUGGGUAAAUUCCAGAUCUAUGGGGUGAGACAAAGGUUUAGCACACUCCCCAGUUAAGGAAAACUGGUAUUUGGCUAACAAAGUUCAAGGGUACAGUGUAUGAUGCACCUAUCACACAGGUGUAACUGUGUAGAAUAUAUGAUUAGUAUCGAUGCAGCAGAAAAGACUUGAAGAAAUGAAUUUAGUUGCACCAGUUUGUGACCAACAGCUGCUGCAUUCCAACUAUGAGGGAAGAACAAAGGCAACUUGGCUCCCUGGAAGCAGUUCAGAUAGAGGCAUUUCUGCUCAAUUUAUUUAUAAUGCCUGCAGCAAGCUUCGAAAGGUUCACUACUGCAUGUUUGCCUCAACACAGUUACAGGAAUAAAUUUAAACGUAUGAUCUUGCGCUGUUCAAGUGAAGUACAAGCAAUUCUGGACACUGCAAUGUGCACUGAUCAGCAGCUUAAUGAUAAGUGACAUCUUUUUGUAGUAUUGAUGAACUUAAGGUUUGGGAGGAAGAAGUGAAAGCAAGAGUAACUCUAUUAUGGGAAGAAGGACACAGAGAGGCAUUACAUUAAGUUGCAUGAAGUCUUCCAAAGCCUACUUAAGUGGAGUGGAGAAUAUGUAUUAUGAAGUGUGAUAGGUAAUACCGAACUGUUUCACUAACUGUAUAAUGUUUCUUGGCAAAGCAUUUUGAAGACUGCUUUCAAAAUGAAAUUCCCCACACAUGAUUAUCUAUGAUUUCCAUGCAAAGGUACUGUAGUCAAACAAAAUUGUAAAGAGACUUUAAGCUUUGUUUCUGCAGGGAAGGAAAUGGCAUCAGUAGCAACUGAAAAAAUCAAUUAAUAUUUAUUUAUAAAUCCUGAUCCUGUUAGAAUAGUAUGAACUUUGAUUGCAAAUACCAUUUCAAAGGUAUAUAUCUGUAGCAGAGAUUUUCUAUAAACCACUUUCUUCAAACACUUGCCUUUAAAAAAAUAGAGUUCUAAAUACAUUGUGAUAGAAUUCAAAAGGUGUGCUAGUUAAUGGCUGUAAAAAAUUGCUUUGAAAAGGGUUUAAACAUGAAGUGUAUAUAACAGACUUCAGCACUGGAUACUUCUAAUAAAUUUCAUAUUAUGUUUUAAGAGCAGGGAGAUUUCACAGACAGGCUUAAUGUAAUACAGUAUCACUGUGUCUCCAGCAGAGCAGAACUCCCCUCUGAAGGUCAUACAUCCUGUCCUCUUUGCUGGUUCCCUGUAGUUGGGCACAGAACUUGCAACAUAUGCUUCGAUGCUUAGGUUAUUUUAAAGGAGUACAGCCAAAGCUAUCAUACGCCCGUUAAUGAAGGGAACAGAUCCAUGCACUCUUUCUUGGUGAUAACACCAGCUUAAAGAUGUCCCAAUCUCACCUGCUCAUUCCCGUCCCUGAAUGGCUCUUGCCCUUAUUUCUGCAGGAACAAAUCUGUAGAAACACCCUGAGAACCAGAUUCAUUAACUGAUGCAGGGUAAAGAGAGAUGGAUUAAAGUUUUUACCCUUGGGGUUUUCUUUUUUCUUUCUUUUAGAACUAGUCAACUAGUUUAAAUUUCCACCAUGCCCUCACAAACAACUGAGCCAGCAGAAGCAAAUGAGCAAUUCACAGGCAGGGCACAAACUCCUUGAGCCAGCUACACCACUGAGAAAAAGGUACGAGGAACUAUGACUCGAGUGUCCCAUGCAGAGAGGAUAAGCCUAUUAUUUACACCUAGAGCCAUCACUCCCUCAGCUAUAGUUUCAUGUGCAUUUAAGCCAGCACAGCCACUGGGAAUAAGAAAAAAACCAAACAGUUCCUGCACUUGUGGCUGCCCUUGGCCAUUCAUUUCUAUGCUUGCAUCGCCUUUUAAGGUGCCACCACAGCCUUCGUUGUAUGGCUCUGUGGUCAACUAUGGUGGCAACAGACCUUGGGUCAUCUUUUUGCUAGGCUAUUUUCCAGCCAGGUCAGAUUCCUCAUCUCCCUCACUGACCAGCCACACACACGUCUGUGCCUGCAUAGCAGGACGUACAGCCCGCUCUCUCCUUUUUAACCUCCCCAAGCCCCCAGAAGAGCUACCUUACCUUGAACUCUCACAAAACUACAAAGGCAAGGAACUGGGGGGUUUGGGCUUUGUCCUCCCAACCCAGAGGACUGUGUUAUUACCAGAACAACUUAUCCACAUUGAAAAAAAAAAUUCAGUCUGUGAUAAAUGGAAAUGGACACUCAAAGAUUUACCACAAAACAAGCACAACAAGGUGAACCAGAGGCAGGGGGUAUAAUGCCAACCUUCUUUAAACAUGUCAUGUUGUAACUCCAGAAAGCUUGUCUCAUUAGAACUAUAUUAUUUCACUGAAUAAAACCAAUGAAAACAGAACGUUUUUCUUCCCAAAGCAUUUUUCUUCUUGUUAAAGAAAAAGAUAAAUUAAAACAAAAUAUCAGUGCA